rnacentral:rRNA from 1 species
AUUGAACGCUGGCGGCAGGCCUAACACAUGCAAGUCGAGCGCGCGGCGGGCGGGUGAGUUAUGCCUGGGAAUUGCCCAGUCGAGGGGGAUAACAGUUGGAAACGACUGCUUAUACCGCAUACGCGUGGGAUGCCCAGGUGGGAUUAGCUAGUUGGUGAGGUAAAGGCUCACCAAGGCGACGAUCCCUAGCUGGUCUGAGAGGAUGAUCAGCCACACUGGGACUGAGACACGGUCCAGACUCCUACGGGAGGCAGCAGUGGGGAAUAUUGCACAAUGGGGGAAAGCCUGAUGCAGCCAUGCCGCGUGUAUGAAGAAGGCCUUCGGGUUGUAAAGCACUUUCAGCGAGGAGGCGUUACUCGCAGAAGAAGCACCGGCUAACUCCGUGCCAGCAGCCGCGGUAAUUC